UCUAGAGGAGAGGCGGCGUAAAAAUGGAAAACCACUGGAAGUAGCGUUUUGCCCACGAACGUACAAGGUUGUUGGGGGCGAGCACGCUGCUUUUGUCCGCCUUGUGGGAACCCAAAUUAAAACGAAAGUUCCCGGACAUUACGGUUCAUGGGAAUUAGUGCCUAAACAAUACAAGGAUCAGGUCCUUGGCAUAAUUCAGUACUAUUAUCAAAUAGCGGGCCGCGAGGAUUUCUUAAAGUGUUAAGAUGGUAUCGAUCGAGAGAUGAAAGACCGAUACCGUAAUAGGAAAACACUAAGACACGAACACUUUGAGAAACACUACAAUGGACCGGAGGAUUGGGAUAAGGUUCUAAACAACCCAACCAAUGAUGUUAACAAGAAGGAGUGGAAGCAGAUCUGUCAGUUAUUUACAAGUCCACAAUUUAUUGCGCGCUCCAUAAAGAAUAAGGAAAAUCGGAAGAAACAAAAGUAUUCUACAACGCAGGGUACAAAAUCGUUGGCAGCCGUCCGUUUUGAAAAAGUAAGUAAAAGAUAAAAUAUUAUCAAAAUUAUGUUCUUUUAAAUUAUAUGUUCUCUAACAUUUGGGUUAUAUUUUUUAGACGAACACGGACCUCAUUGAGUCAUGGAAGGAUUAUCAUUGGAAGAAAGCAACAAAUGAUUUCGUGAACGAUGAUGCUCGCCAAGAUUAUGAAAAACUGAAGGCUGAUUUUGAGUUACAAACUCAGCAAACAUCCACUGAUGCUUCUAAUAAUGAUAGUCCG